UCUUGACCUCGGAUCAGGUAGGGAUACCCGCUGAACUUAAGCAUA
rnacentral:rRNA from 4 species